CCUUGGCCUCAAAUCA
rnacentral:rRNA from 1 species